AUGCGUGAUCAGGUCGGCAUCGACCUGGACGGCUUCCCCCUCGACCACGAGUUCCUGGACGACUACGGGCAAGAGGAAGAGGACGAUUGCGACAUCGAUGUGGAGCCCUUGUUCGAGGACGAGCUUGCCAACCAAGCCGCCGGUCCAAAGCCGAAGCGCAAGAGCAAGCGUACGAAGGAGUACACGGCGACCGAGGACAAAUUUCUUUGCGACUGUUGGCGAGACAUUGGACAAGACCCCAAGACGGGCGCCGAGCAAAAGCAUUCAACCUUUUGGAUUUGUGUCUACCGAGAGUUUCAUGAGCGCAAGAAGUUUCCGCCGUACCAAUUUGUGAGCACGCGCGGGUGGGUCUCCAUUUCCAUGCGGUGGAGGAUGAUCCAACAAGAGUGCAACAAAAUUUGCACCACUCUUGAGAGCGUCAAGGGCCGCCCCGUGAGCGGCAUCGGCAUGCAAGACAUGGUAUGCUAG
rnacentral:rRNA from 1 species